AUGACGCUGGCGGAAUGCUUUACACUGCAAGUCCGAACGGCAGCACGGACUUCGGUCUGGUGGCGAGUGGCGAACGGGUGAGUAAUGCAUCGGAACGUGCCCAAUCGUGGGGGAUAACGUAGCGAAAGUUACGCUAAUACCGCAUACGAUCUAAGUGAUGAAAGCGGGGGAUCGCAAGACCUACGCGCGAAUGGAGCGGCCGAUGUUAGAUUAAGUAGUUGGUGGGGUAAAGGCUCACCAAAGCCGACGAUCUAUAGCUGGUCUGAGAGGAUGAUCAGCCACACUGGGACUGAGACACGGCCACAAUCCUACGAGGAGGCAGCAGUGGGGAAUUUUGGACAAUGGGCGCAAGCACUGAUACCAGACCAUUCCGCGCUGCAAGGAUGAAAGCCCUCGGGUUGUAAACUGCUUUUGUACAGAACGAAAAGCUCUGGGUUAAUACCCUGGGGUCACUUGACAGGUACUGUAAGAAUAAGCACCAGGCUAACAUACAGUGACCAGACAGACCGACAGAGUAAAUACAGUAAGAGAGUGCAAAGACGUUUAUCUGGAAUUACUGGGCAGUAACAGACGUGCGACACAGUGCGGUGACUGUCCCAGAACAGAAGGUGAAAUUACCCGGGCCUCAACCUUGAGGGAAAAUAGACUUUUGGUGACUGCCAUACGCUAGAAGUACGGACAAAGGGCGGAUGCAACUUACAC
rnacentral:rRNA from 1 species